GUCCUCAGGUGUGAAUGUGUCCUCAGGUGUGACUGUGUCCUCAGGUGUGACUGUGUCCUCAGGUGUAAAUGUGUCCUCAGGUGUGAAUGUGUCCUCAGGUGUAAAUGUGUCCUCAGGUGUAAAUGUGUCCUCAGGUGUGAAUGUGUCCUCAGGUGUGACUGUGUCCUCAGGUGUAAAUGUGUCCUCAGGUGUGAAUGUGUCCUCAGGUGUGAAUGUGUCCUCAGGUGUGACUGUGUCCUCAGGUGUAAAUGUGUCCUCAGGUGUGAAUGUGUCCUCAGGUGUAAAUGUGUCCUCAGGUGUAAAU